rnacentral:rRNA from 1 species
UACGUAGGUGGCAAGCGUUGUCCGGAUUUACUGGGCGUAAAGAGCGCGCAGGUGGUCGGAUUAGUCGCGUGUGAAAGCCUCCGGCUCAACUGGGGAGGGUCACGCGAUACUGUUCGACUCGAAGGCAGGAGAGGGAAGUGGAAUUCCUGGUGUAGCGGUGAAAUGCGCAGAUAUCAGGAGGAACACCGAUGGCGAAGGCAGGUCUCUGGGCCACUACUGACGCUGAGAAGCGAAAGCAUGGGGAGCGAACAGG